UGCAUUACUUGCACUUUUCGCACUCGACAUCUUCGCUUUCUCUUUCUCCAGUGCUCGAGUAUAUAUUUAUUUCGUUUAAAGUGCAAAAUAUUUUGGGGAUUUCAAGCAACGCGAACAAACCUUUUGUCUCGGAAAAGACAGUAAUCCAUAGGGUAGAAGAGAAGAAGAAGAAGAAGAAGAAGUACACUAGUAGAUCGAGAGAGAACGAUAUCAUCUGCACCGUUAUGUUUUCGCUCUUCCAAGGUCUUCCACUUACAGAGAUGGGCCAUAUAGAAGUAUUACAUAUGAUUACAUAUAUGAUCGCGAUGCUCAAUUCAUUCUCAUGUCGAUAGAUAGCCGUAUUCUCUCCUACUGACGUUUGUUACAGUUCGUAUCUCUUUCGUGAAAUUGUGAAAGUUUAGCUAUCAGGAAAAAAAAAACCACCGUCGUGUCACUUCUCGAUUUUGUUCUUUCGAAGAAAUUGUGAUAGAUUUAACGAAUUAAACGCGAAAUUAAACGUGAAAUAAUUGUUAUCUAAUCAGUUUAUUUUGAGACACUUUGUUUUUCAGUAAAUGGAAUAUGGUAUCUUUCCGGUAAACAUAUGAUAUCGACAUAAGAAAUUAACAGUAUCGGAGUAUUAGUAUAAUGACGCCAGUGUUUCGUGAGUCCCCUGCCAAUUUGUCAAAUGAAAAUCUUGAGGAGAAAGUGACUACCACGAUGAGCGAAGGCGAAGAAGUGUUGUGCGACAUGCGUCCUAACCUCUCGGUCGAGACGCUGUAUCACGCUGUGUACCUACCACUGGAACAUAGAACAGAGGAGAAUGCAGGUGGAGAAGACAACAUUCUUCACGUUUAUCGGGAGAUGGAGUCUGCUUUAAAAGUGAUAAAAACUUAUAAAAAGGGUCGUUUCAAAAGUUUUAAGAAUUAUUCUGCUGCCGUGGCAUAUGCAAAGUCUGGAUACAAACAAUUCUCUACGAAUAAUUAUUCUACAACUGCCACGGUGCAAGAACAAACCAGUAAUUUUAAGGCACCGAGCCCACAGGAUCUUUCAGCUUUUAAAAGAUUAAUCGAAAGUGGGAAUUUGGAGGCUGUGAAGAAUACUGCAUGGGAGAAUCCAAGAUAUUUAAUUAGCAGUGGAGAUAUGCCUGCCAUUUUACAAAUGGGAUCUCGGUACAAUGCUUUACAUGUAGCAGCAAAGAAAGGCUACGCAGAAAUGUGUGAACUCAUACUGAACACCGUUGGAGAUCCCAAAUUUAUACAGUGGCAUUAUGGAGAAAAUGAAUGUAAAACUUACGUAAAUCCUGCACAAAUUAUGCAAGAUUUAUACUUAAAUACACCAGAUAAAGGACUCAAUGAGACUCCAUUACAUUUUGCUGUCAAAUUUGGAUUUAAAGAUGUCGUUCGGGUUCUUGUCUCCUACUCACAAUGCAUUAGAAACUUACGAAACAAGUAUAAUCUGCUGCCUGUAGAUAUAAUAUGUACCAGAAAGUGCCAAGAAAAUGAAACCUUAAAACGCGAAAUACUUAUGCUGCUAGAAGAUCAGUACUAUGUACCUGUAUUAAGAGCGGAAGGUAAUGCGUGUCCACCUAUCAUUGGAGAGCCAUUUUCGCCGACCAAACCGCUUGACAAAGAUUUGAACAAAGAUCCUAAAAGUCCUCGUGUGGAACUAAGGGCAUUUGCUGGUCCAAUGACUAAGACGCAGGCAGUAGAAUUUCGAAAAAAAUGGAAAACUCCACCACGUAUUAGGUUAUCGCCCUGUCCUAAAAGAGGACAGGGCGAUAUUCAUGACAUUAAAAGUAGUCCUAUAGCUAUGAGGCUAGAAGAUACAGAGAAAGGAUUGGAACGUGUUGGAAGAAAUCUUGCUGAGGAAUAUCAAGUGUCUUGGAAGGAAUAUUGGCCAUUUUUAAAAGAUUUUGUUGAUUUUCGAAAUGAUGAUGGUUUAACGAAGUUUGAAAAAUAUUUACAGCAAAAAUUUAAAGAUUACAAGGAAAAAUUAUUUUACUCGGAAAACCUGAAUAAUAAUGCAUAUGUACCAGCAAGUUGUGAAGAUGUACCAAUAAAUUGCCAACAAAUGCCCCCAAAAAUGGAUGCCAUUAACGAUAUACAAUAUUUAUGUGAUAAAUUAUGCUCAUUAUCUUCUGAAUUAGAUAAUAUUGAAAAAGAUACAGAUAGUUCCGAAUUUUUUACACCUCCAUCCUCACCAGAACUUAUUCAAGACAUUGAUGAUCAUAUGGAGACUGCAGAGGAAGGUUGUCAAAUAUUUAUUGAAGGAUUUUCACCAUCAGACUCAGAUUAUGCUGUUUACAACGCACUUUCAUCUGUGAUUUGUCCCGAGACAUAUCCUUGUGUUUACCGUUGGCGACACGACAUGCAGUUAGCUAUGAAACGUGAUCCAUGCAGAUUCGAUAAGAAAUCCAGGAGGAAAUUAUUCCCUAUUAAUUAAAUAUUUAUAUAACAAUAAAGAUAGCUAUAUUGACAAUUUGUAUUGCCAAACUUUGGAUUAACAACCGACCCUUAGAUCUUUAUCUCCUUAAUUAAAUAUGGCGUCUAUAACUGUCAAUGUAUGCGAAUAUUUGCUUUAUACAAAAAUUUUGUCGUACAAAACGCAACAAUCUGCAUCUCCAAUAUCUGCAUCUCAAAUACAAAUUGCACAAUAAAACAAUGUUGAGUUCUUAGAAUUAACCUUGGAUAUCUAAUAUGAAAGAUUAUACCUGAAAAUUUUUGCGUCUACAUGCGUGCGAUAUUAAUGUCGUAAUAUUAUACAUAGCGACGUAUUUCGUAAAUCAUAUACAUGUAAAUCGCGUGUGUUAGCCACUACUCAAUCGAUAAAACUAAUAACUUUAACAUCCCCUUGCCACGUAAGGUUAUAAAAUUCUGUUCCAACAUUAUUUAGGUAAGCGAAUUAUAAAUAUUUGAGGUAAGAUAAGAGAGAUAUAUAUUUUAAGAUGUUUUUACAAGGCUUAUAACUAGAGAAGCUUUCUAACUCAAACUUUUGAAGUUGUAGCGUAUACCUCUUUUUAUUGUUCAUCGUUUAUAGUUACAAUAAAUACUCAUUGCUGGAAAA
rnacentral:misc_RNA from 1 species